ensembl:lncRNA novel transcript
UCCAGCAGGCGCAGCGAGCGGCGGUGGCGCGCGCACGAGGCCGCCAGCACCGUGUGCGCCCGCAACUCCCUCAGCGCCCCGAGCACCCCGCAGCGGGUCCAAGUCCGAGGGCAGCACGCGGCCCGGGAAGCGCUGCUCAGCUAGCAGGUCACGGACGCGCGGCUGCAGCAGGCGCGCGCGCAGCACGGCGCACGGAAGGCGCACCAGGUACCAGACGUCCAGCAGCGCAAAGACAGCGAGCCCCAGGGCCAGCAACGCCACCAGCAGCCCCAGCAUAGCGGCGGCGGCGGGCGCGGGGUCCUGCGGAGUCCGUGGCGCCGGUGCCGGUGUCCGCGGCGCU